GGAGACGCGCGCUCUUACACAACCACAAGUCAUGGCGCUGCGCUGAGCUCCGUUCAGCCUGUGAAUGUGGUAUUAUCUUUGCGAUCUGUUGGCAUUACGGAAACGAAAGGUGCAAGAAACGUAACGUUAAUCAUAACUCAAACAAUCUCCGCCUAAAUACUAAACGGUAUUUUCUGAUGACUUGCAAAAACGUAGUCUCAAAACGUAACUGUCUAUCACACGCAGCUUGUUGCAUGCUGAUCCAUGCAUGAGGAAAGCCUGACAGAGAACAUUUAAGCUGCGCUCCUCACCUGAGCAGAAUUGAAGGUCGGUUGUUGCUGACUACAGAAAAGUUCUUAAAGUUUUCUUAAUUUUUGUAUUUGCAGGAACUGCAUGAUGUCAGUUCAUGACGGACUACUGUUAUCAGAGGUCUUUUGGUCUUGCUGCGUGAGCGUGACUUGGGAUUCUUUAGGACCACCCUGAUUGAUAAUCCUGAAGUGCUGACAGAGGAUGCUUUAUUGGCCCUGCAUUCACUGAGGGUCUCUGUUGUCCUGAAGAAUGAAUUGGACACCAUCCACAGCACACGUCCAGACCUUUCUUGUCUUGUUUGGAUUACUGUAUGCUCUUCUUCACAUAAUAUAGAGUAAAGGACUUUGAACUUGUGCAAAAAGUUUUGCUUGGCAUGGAUGAUAGAAAAUAGAAAGUGUCCUUGCAUGGAAACCUUAAAGAAUGAGUUGAUGUAGAGCUUUUUUUUUUUUACUUAAUAAAGACUGUCACUGGGGUAGUAACUUCAAAACAUGUAUGUACUUUUAAUUAGUAAGGGUGCAUUUUAUUAUAUAUAGGGAUAGUUUGUCCAAACUUAAAAUUCUUUCAUUUACUCACUCUUCACUUUUCCCAAACCUGCUUAAAUAUUUUGCUUCUGUUGAACACAAAAGUUAUUUUAAGGAAAGCUGACAACCUGUAACCAUUGACUUUCUAAUAG